AUUUCCUCUAAUUCUAAAUGAUUAAGUUUCCAUAUCAGUAUCGACAUCGAAAAUAUUUUUGUCAUUCUGACCGAUAUCACUAAUGAUAUUGAUACUCUUGAUUUAAAUCCUGUUUCAAUAUUAAUGUCGAUACUUUCACGAUAUCGUAACAUCCCUAACUAUAAAAUUCGAUGGAGUAAUUGGCGGUGAGUGUCGGAAGGGAUAAACCGCGCGAGCUCCUCGGCGACGACCAUCGGGGUUUCCUCUACGUCGUGGCUUUUAGCUCCAAAAUACAAUUACCAUAACUCAAAUCAUACGCGUCUCCGGCAACUUUUGACAACGGAUCCGCAAUGUAAAUAUCCGAUGGUGGCGCAUUCGUUCGUACGUCGUGACGGCGUAACAAAUGGCGCAUCCGCGACGGCCGGGCACGACGAAAAUGGAGUCGGUAUUAUAAAUGUAUGAGUUCGAAAGUUCCGGUAUGACUGCGCCCUAGGAAAUGAGCGAAUGUCCUUUGCGACAAGGCGCGUCAACGUGAAAAGUCUCCGCUCCUCCGGAGCAUAAUGCCAUCGCGGGGCUACGUCACCGCGUGACGUACCGCGAUUCCGCGGCGAAAUUUCGCUCGGUUCACGGCACGAAUCCGAUUUUCCUAGGCAGGGGCGCUUCGGUGCGCACGCCCGACACGGCCGCGGGAGUGUGUACGAGUCGGUAUUAACAGGCGAAUAAAUUAUCCUAUUCGGCACGAACCCUUCAUAACUCAGUAGCAAAAUUAGCAUAAGAUCAAUAUUGCUUUUUCGCCGCGCCACUGACGGCGCUCAGACCUGGCGACCCACGUACCCUCCUUCGCUCGGUUUACCGUAAAUGCUGACGACGACAGCGCGAUCGCAAAUCUGUUAAGUCACUGCUCCGAUAAAUCGUUCAUCGGUAUACCGUAUAUCGCGUAUUUCUUUCAUUAAUCGCCACCUUUUACGCCGGUAUUUCUCCACUGACACGUCUCGAUAUAUUUUGCUUGAUGCGUCGAAAACUUUUCAGUUGCAAAUUGCUUUGUGAUAUUUCCCGGACCAAUUAAUGACACAAUGUAUGCACGUUUUACCGCGUAAAAUAAACAUUACGCACAUAAGACCGUUAUAAAUGUAACGGUUCGUUGCAGUUUGUAAUAUUAGUUCAGCCAAUUAGCCGCGUAACAUUAAAACUGAAAUAUUUUGCCAACGCAAGUCAUAAAAUAAUAUUCAUUGUUUGCGAUAAUUAAAGCAUCCAGUUUUUCCAUAUAAAUUAGCCAGACUUCCAUUGACGCAGACCUUUGAAGUUUAUCAUAAAACUGUACGCCUCCGAGCUACUUUAUAACUGUGCCGCUGUAUGAUUUUUAUGAAUAAUAUCGGUAUUUCGGUUGCUCUUCUCCCUGCCGAGUAAAUUGUGCAUGUUCCGAGAGAGAGAGAGAGAGAGAGAGAGAGAAAGAGAGUUUCACGAUUGGUCCAUGACGGAGAGACAAGUCAGCGGAACCGUCGAAGGAGCAGCGAGACGAAACGACGAUAAUUGGAGCAAAAAUAGGGCGCGUGUUUACCGCAACUUCAGCGGCGUUUCAAUCGUGCUUGCAUUACGCGGACAACGUCUCUCCGGAACGACGGAGCACGCCUCGUUCCCGUUAAAUUCGAUUCAUUCCGAUUGUCAACACGCUCUGGCGCAACGAAUGCCAAUUUCUGAAGUCGGGAUCGACACGCCGCCGUAACGCCUCGUCGUUCUUACCCGCUUCAUCAUGAACCAGUGCGCUUCCGCCAUCAGCUGAUACUUCGCGCGACGCGUAAUAUCGGAGUUUAAGGCGCGUUACGUCCGUGGACACGAGACAGGAAGACGCAGCGAAUAAUAGAGGAGUGCAACGGCGUUUCCAGCUUGACGCGAGGCUCCACGUAAGCGAGCGGGCGUUUGCAUCACGCGCGAUCUACGUACGAUCCACGCGUGUAUCCAGCGUUCGCCACGUUUCAGAGGAAUCAUGGCUGAAGGAGAGGCUGAGAUAAACAGACGGAGAGAGAAGGACCGGCAAGAGGACGGCUACGAGUCGCAAGAUGAAGCGCGCGCUCGCUCGCUCGCUCGCGAGAGAAAGGGGGACAGAGAGUAAGCGAAUAAGCUAUCGUACAGACUUUUGUGAGAACCCUUAUGGGUAAAACUAUAAAUCCUUGAGGUAGAAGCUUUUGAUGCCAUUGAAUACGUGAAGGCUAAAAUUAAAGACAAGGAGAGAAUUCCACUUGAACUCAGCGACUCAUUUUUGCUGGGAAGUAGUUGGAAGAUAUUGAAUGUACUCUCUCUGAUUAUGAUAUCCAAAAAGAAUCCACCUUCAUCUCGUACUUCGCCUUCGAGAAGGUUUAAUUGAGCCAAUGCUACGUAUACUCGCACAAAUAUAAUACAACUGUGGCAAAAUGAUCUGUCGUGUUAUGCUCGCCUUAACCCAUUUGCGACCAAUUGCCGAAAGAAGUGCGGACAUACAAAUAACAUUCGUCCAAAGAAGUUGAAAUAAAUUAUUAUUAUUAUUACAGAAGAGAUUUUAUAUUGUUUCACUAAAUAAAGGAAAUGAAACUGA